GAUGAACGCUGGCGGCGUGCCUAAUACAUGCAAGUCGAGCGAACGGACGAGAAGCUUGCUUUUCUGAUGUUAGCGGCGGACGGGUGAGUAACACGUGGAUAACCUACCUAUAAGACUGGGAUAACUUCGGGAAACCGGAGCUAAUACCGGAUAAUAUUUUGAACCGCAUGGUUCAAAAGUGAAAGACGGUCUUGCUGUCACUUAUAGAUGGAUCCGCGCUGCAUUAGCUAGUUGGUAAGGUAACGGCUUACCAAGGCAACGAUGCAUAGCCGACCUGAGAGGGGGACCGGCCACAUGGGAACUGGAAAAGGGCCAAGACUCCUACGGGAGGCAGAAGGAGGGAAUCUUCCGAAAUGGGCGAAAGCCUGACGGAGCAACGCCGCGUGAGUGAUGAAGGUCUUCGAAUCGUAAAACUCUGUUAUUAGGGAAGAACAAAUGUGUAAGUAACUGUGCACUUCUUGACGGUACCUAAUAAGAAAGCCACGGCUAACUACGUG
rnacentral:rRNA from 1 species